rnacentral:rRNA from 1 species
ACGGCGAGUGAAGCGGCAACAGCUCAAAUUUGAAAUCUGGCCCCUUUGGGGUCCGAGUUGUAAUUUGCAGAGGGUGCUUUGGCGUUGGCGGCGGUCUAAGUUCCUUGGAACAGGACAUCGCAGAGGGUGAGAAUCCCGUAUGUGGUCGCCUGCCUUCGCCGUGUAAAGCCCCUUCGACGAGUCGAGUUGUUUGGGAAUGCAGCUCUAAAUGGGAGGUAAAUUUCUUCUAAAGCUAAAUACCGGCCAGAGACCGAUAGCGCACAAGUAGAGUGAUCGAAAGAUGAAAAGCACUUUGGAAAGAGAGUCAAACAGCACGUGAAAUUGUUGAAAGGGAAGCGCUUGCAGCCAGACUUGCCUGUAGUUGCUCACCCGGGCUCCUGCCCGGGGCACUCUUCUGCAGGCAGGCCAGCAUCAGUUUGGGCGGUUGGAUAAAGGGCUCUGACACGUACUUCCCCUCGGGGUUGACAUACAGGGGAGCCGCAAUGCGACCAGCCCGGACUGAGGUCCGCGCAUCUGCUAGGAUGCUGGCGUAAUGGCUGUAAGCGGCC